rnacentral:rRNA from 1 species
GACGAACGCUGGCGGCGUGCCUAAUACAUGCAAGUAGAACGCUGAAGGAGGAGCUUGCUUCUCUGGAUGAGUUGCGAACGGGUGAGUAACGCGUAGGUAACCUGCCUGGUAGCGGGGGAUAACUAUUGGAAACGAUAGCUAAUACCGCAUAAGAGUAGAUGUUGCAUGACAUUUGCUUAAAAGGUGCAAUUGCAUCACUACCAGAUGGACCUGCGUUGUAUUAGCUAGUUGGUGGGGUAACGGCUCACCAAGGCGACGAUACAUAGCCGACCUGAGAGGGUGAUCGGCCACACUGGGACUGAGACACGGCCCAGACUCCUACGGGAGGAAGCAGUAGGGAAUCUUCGGCAAUCGACGGAAGUCUGACCGAGCAACGCCGCGUGAGUGAAGAAGGGUUUCGGAUCGUAAAGCUCUGUUGUAAGAGAAGAACGAGUGUGAGAGUGGAAAGUUCACACUGUGACGGUAUCUUACCAGAAAGGGACGGCUAACUACGUG